rnacentral:rRNA from 1 species
AUGCCAGUGAAGAAGGACGUCCACAACGUUCAAGCCAGUGUGCCCAUCAAGGUUUUGCCUUGGCCUCCACCGCCGGCAGACCGGGUGGCACUUUCCGUUGAUGGAGCGUUCUCUUCGGCUAAUGGCUCGGCAGCGACAGGUAUGAUCUUGAGGAGACAUGAUGGUUCUAUCAUCUUCGCAGCAUACUGGUGCUUGUUUAACUGCAACGAUGCUCUCGAGGCGGAGUUGCAUGCACUAAUGCAGGGUAUGGCGUUGGCCGUGUAA